CCCGUCAUGCAGGUCGAGCUAGUAGCACUGGGGAGCUUGCUCCCCGGGUGACGAGCGGCGGACGGGUGAGUAAUGUCUGGGAAACUGCCUGAUGGAGGGGGAUAACUACUGGAAACGGUAGCUAAUACCGCAUAACGUCGCAAGACCAAAGAGGGGGACCUUCGGGCCUCUUGCCAUCAGAUGUGCCCAGAUGGGAUUAGCUAGUAGGUGGGGUAAUGGCUCACCUAGGCGACGAUCCCUAGCUGGUCUGAGAGGAUGACCAGCCACACUGGAACUGAGACACGGUCCAGACUCCUACGGGAGGCAGCAGUGGGGAAUAUUGCACAAUGGGCGCAAGCCUGAUGCAGCCAUGCCGCGUGUGUGAAGAAGGCCUUCGGGUUGUAAAGCACUUUCAGCGAGGAGGAAGGUGGUGAGCUUAAUACGCUCAUCAAUUGACGUUACUCGCAGAAGAAGCACCGGCUAACUCCGUGCCAGCAGCCGCGGUAAUACGGAGGGUGCAAGCGUUAAUCGGAAUUACUGGGCGUAAAGCGCACGCAGGCGGUUUGUUAAGUCAGAUGUGAAAUCCCCGGGCUCAACCUGGGAACUGCAUUUGAAACUGGCAAGCUAGAGUCUCGUAGAGGGGGGUAGAAUUCCAGGUGUAGCGGUGAAAUGCGUAGAGAUCUGGAGGAAUACCGGUGGCGAAGGCGGCCCCCUGGACGAAGA
rnacentral:rRNA from 1 species